CCUGAUGCAGCAACGCCGCGUGCAUGAUGAAGGCCUUCGGGUCGUAAAAUGCUUUUCUGGCUGAGGAAAGCGGCCUUCGGGUCGUGUGACUGUAGGUCAGGAAUAAGUGUCGGCUAACUACGUGCCAGCAGCCGCGGUAAAACGUAGGACGCAAGCGUUAUCCGGAGUUACUGGGCGUAAAGCGCUGGCAGGCGGUUCUUUAAGUCUGAUGUGAAAUCUCCCGGCUCAACCGGGAGCAGCCAUUGGAAACUAGGGAACUGGAGGGCGAGAGAGGUAGGCGGAAUUCCGGGUAGAGUGGUGAAAUGCGUAGAGAUCCGGAGGAACACCAGAGGCGAAGGCGGCCUACUGGCUCGCACCUGACGCUGAGCCGCGAAAGCCAGGGGAGCGAACGGGAUUAGAAACCCCGGUAGUCCUGGCCGUAAACGAUGUGUGCUGGGUGGUGGGGGGUCUCCCUUCACUGCCGAAGCUAACGCGAUAAGCACACCGCCUGGGGAGUACGGUCGCAAGGCUA
rnacentral:rRNA from 1 species